UACGGAGGAUGCGAGCGUUAUCCGGAUUUAUUGGGUUUAAAGGGUGCGUAGGCGGAAUAUCAAGUCAGCGGUAAAAAUUCGGGGCUCAACCCCGUCGUGCCGUUGAAACUGACGUUCUUGAGUGGGCGAGAAGUAUGCGGAAUGCGUGGUGUAGCGGUGAAAUGCAUAGAUAUCACGCAGAACUCCGAUUGCGAAGGCAGCAUACCGGCGCCCAACUGACGCUGAAGCACGAAAGCGUGGGUAUCGAACAGG
rnacentral:rRNA from 1 species